rnacentral:rRNA from 1 species
GAUGAACGCUGGCGGCGUGCCUAAUACAUGCAAGUCGAGCGAACGGACGAGAAGCUUGCUUCUCUGAUGUUAGCGGCGGACGGGUGAGUAACACGUGGAUAACCUACCUAUAAGACUGGGAUAACUUCGGGAAACCGGAGCUAAUACCGGAUAAUAUUUUGAACCGCAUGGUUCAAAAGUGAAAGACGGUCUUGCUGUCACUUAUAGAUGGAUCCGCGCUGCAUUAGCUAGUUGGUAAGGUAACGGCUUACCAAGGCAACGAUGCAUAGCCGACCUGAGAGGGGGAUCGGGCACACGGGAACUGAGACCCGGACCAGACUCCUGCGGGAGGCAGCAGGAGGGAAUGUUCCGCAAUGGGCGAAAGCCUGACAGAGCAACGCCGCGUGAGUGAUGAAGGUCGUCGGAUCGUAAAACUCUGUUAUUAGGGAAGAACAUAUGUGUAAGUAACAGUGCACAGCUUGACGGUACCUAAUCAGAAAGCCACGGCUAACUACGUG